rnacentral:tRNA from 1 species
AGGGUUGUGGCUUAGUGGUAGAGCACUUGCCUAGCAUGCAUGAGGCACUGCAUUCAAUCCCU